GACGAACGCUGGCGGCGUGCUUAACACAUGCAAGUCGAACGGAAAGGCCCUGCUUUUGUGGGGUGCUCGAGUGGCGAACGGGUGAGUAACACGUGAGUAACCUGCCCUUGACUUUGGGAUAACUUCAGGAAACUGGGGCUAAUACCGGAUAGGAGCUCCUGCUGCAUGGUGGGGGUUGGAAAGUUUCGGCGGUUGGGGAUGGACUCGCGGCUUAUCAGCUUGUUGGUGGGGUAGUGGCUUACCAAGGCUUUGACGGGUAGCCGGCCUGAGAGGGUGACCGGCCACAUUGGGACUGAGAUACGGCCCAGACUCCUACGGGAGGCAGCAGUGGGGAAUAUUGCACAAUGGGCGGAAGCCUGAUGCAGCAACGCCGCGUGCGGGAUGACGGCCUUCGGGUUGUAAACCGCUUUCGCCUGUGACGAAGCGUGAGUGACGGUAAUGGGUAAAGAAGCACCGGCUAACUACGUGCCGGCAGCCGCGGUGAUACGUAGGGUGCGAGCGUUGUCCGGAUUUAUUGGGCGUAAAGGGCUCGUAGGUGGUUGAUCGCGUCGGAAGUGUAAUCUUGGGGCUUAACCCUGAGCGUGCUUUCGAUACGGGUUGACUUGAGGAAGGUAGGGGAGAAUGGAAUUCCUGGUGGAGCGGUGGAAUGCGCAGAUAUCAGGAGGAACACCAGUGGCGAAGGCGGUUCUCUGGGCCUUUCCUGACGCUGAGGAGCGAAAGCGUGGGGAGCGAACAGGCUUAGAUACCCUGGUAGUCCACGCUGUAAACGGUGGGUACUAGGUGUGGGGUCCAUUCCACGGGUUCCGUGCCGUAGCUAACGCUUUAAGUACCCCGCCUGGGGAGUACGGCCGCAAGGCUAAAACUCAAAGGAAUUGACGGGGCCCCGCACAAGCGGCGGAGCAUGCGGAUUAAUUCGAUGCAACGCGUAGAACCUUACCUGGGUUUGACAUGGAUCGGGAGUGCUCAGAGAUGGGUGUGCCUCUUUUGGGGUCGGUUCACAGGUGGUGCAUGGCUGUCGUCAGCUCGUGUCGUGAGAUGUUGGGUUAAGUCCCGCAACGAGCGCAACCCUUGUUCACUGUUGCCAGCACGUUAUGGUGGGGACUCAGUGGAGACCGCCGGGGUCAACUCGGAGGAAGGUGGGGAUGACGUCAAGUCAUCAUGCCCCUUAUGUCCAGGGCUUCACGCAUGCUACAAUGGCUGGUACAGAGAGUGGCGAGCCUGUGAGGGUGAGCGAAUCUCGGAAAGCCGGUCUCAGUUCGGAUUGGGGUCUGCAACUCGACCUCAUGAAGUCGGAGUCGCUAGUAAUCGCAGAUCAGCAACGCUGCGGUGAAUACGUUCCCGGG
rnacentral:rRNA from 1 species